GAGUUUGAUUCUGGCUCAGAACGAACGCUGGCGGCGCGUCUUAAGCAUGCAAGUCGAACAGCAAGAGAGGAGCUUGCUCUUCUCCUAGAGUGGCGGACUGGUGAGGAACACGUGGGUAAUCUACCCUUAAGAUGGGGAUAGCCGUUAGAAAUAGCGGGUAAUACCGAAUAGCCUUAAAGCGUCAUAAGAGGUUUAAGGAAAGGAAGCUAAGGCUUCGCUUAAGGAUGAGCCUGCGUCCCAUUAGCUAGUUGGUAGGGUAACGGCCUACCAAGGCGACGACGGGUAUCCGGCCUGAGAGGGUGAUCGGACACAUUGGGACUGAGAUACGGCCCAAACUCCUACGGGAGGCAGCAGCUAAGAAUAUUCCGCAAUGGACGGAAGUCUGACGGAGCGACGCCGCGUGGAUGAAGAAGGCUGAAAAGUUGUAAAAUCCUUUUGCCGAUGAAGAAUAAGGAUAAGAGGGAAUGCUUGUCUGAUG
rnacentral:rRNA from 1 species